rnacentral:rRNA from 1 species
UACAGAGGGGGGCAAGCGUUGUUCGGAAUUACUGGGCGUAAAGGGCGCGUAGGCGGCCCGCUAAGUCGAACGUGAAAUCCCCCGAGCUCAACUCGGGAACUGCGUCCGAUACUGGUGGGCUUGAAUCCGGGAGAGGGAUGCGGAAUUCCAGGUGUAGCGGUGAAAUGCGUAGAUAUCUGGAGGAACACCGGUGGCGAAGGCGGCAUCCUGGACCGGCAUUGACGCUGAGGCGCGAAAGCUAGGGGAGCAAACGGGG